rnacentral:rRNA from 1 species
AGAACGAACGCUGGCGGCAUGCCUAACACAUGCAAGUCGAACGAGACCUUCGGGUCUAGUGGCGCACGGGUGCGUAACGCGUGGGAAUCUGCCCCUUGGUUCGGAAUAACUCAGAGAAAUUUGAGCUAAUACCGGAUGAUGACGUAAGUCCAAAGAUUUAUCGCCAAGGGAUGAGCCCGCGUAGGAUUAGCUAGUUGGUGAGGUAAAGGCUCACCAAGGCGACGAUCCUUAGCUGGUCUGAGGGGAUGAUCAGCCACACUGGGACUGAGACACGGCCCAGACUCCUACGGGAGGCAGCAGUGGGGAAUAUUGGACAAUGGGCGAAAGCCUGAUCCAGCAAUGCCGCGUGAGUGAUGAAGGCCUUAGGUUGUAAAGCUCUUUUACCGGGAUGGAUAAUGACAGUACCGGAGAAUAAGCUCCGGCUAACGUCCGCGCCAGCAGCCGAC